rnacentral:tRNA from 1 species
AUUUAUAUAGUUUAUUUUAAAAUAUUAUAUUGUGGUUAUAAUGAUGAAUUUUCUAUAAAUA